AGAGUUUGAUCAUGGCUCAGGACGAACGCUGGCGGCGUGCUUAACACAUGCAAGUCGAACGGUGAACCCCUUCGGGGGGGAUCAGUGGCGAACGGGUGAGUAACACGUGAGCAACCUGCCCCCGACUCUGGGAUAACCCCGGGAAACCGGAGCUAAUACCGGAUACGACACGCUCGGGCAUCCGAUGCGUGUGGAAAGAUUCAUCGGUUGGGGAUGGGCUCGCGGCCUAUCAGCUUGUUGGUGGGGUAAUGGCCUACCAAGGCGACGACGGGUAGCCGGCCUGAGAGGGCGACCGGCCACACUGGGACUGAGACACGGCCCAGACUCCUACGGGAGGCAGCAGUGGGGAAUAUUGCGCAAUGGGCGAAAGCCUGACGCAGCGACGCCGCGUGAGGGAUGAAGGCCUUCGGGUUGUAAACCUCUUUCAGCAGGGAAGAAGCGAAAGUGACGGUACCUGCAGAAGAAGCACCGGCUAACUACGUGCCAGCAGCCGCGGUA
rnacentral:rRNA from 1 species